AUAAGCGGCGGAUAAAAGUAAAGUAAGCGAAGGGAGAGAUAGAUUCGUAUUUCACUCACUCACACCUCUGUGUUUCGGUCAAAAGGACUUGAGUUUCGCUUGGAGAAUCCAGAAUCUAAUUCGCCAUACAUCAACAUCUCAACAUCUUUGGACCUCUUUUUGUUUUGCAAAAGCUUGGUUUACGUGAUUCUCUGUGAAAGGAGUUGUGUACAAAUUCAUAUUCUGGAGUCGUCCUUUAUUUAUUUUCUCAAAGUUGUGUGUUGCUACAGUUGUUGAGGGAUUUCUUCUCCCUUCUUCUGUUGCUGCUGUUGCUGCUGUUGCUGCUGUUGCUGCUGUUGCUGCUGUUGCUACGACUGUCGUACUGCUCCACGGCUGACUGCUCGUGUGGAUUAGCUGUACUGUGCUGUGCUGUGCUGUGUUGUGGUGUAGAUCCAGAUUCAGAUCAAGCUAUCAGGUAAGUCCUCGACUUCUGUAAUGUAAGCCAGGUCUGGAGUGGAAGCUAAGAAUAGGACUAGGUUAUUUGUUAUUUAAUGAUAAGACUUAGUUGAUUUGUAAAUCCAUAAUAUGUAUCAUGUUAAGCGCCUAGAGCAUUGCAUAAGUGGAUACGCGCCAAACAAAUGCAAUCCGUUAUUAUUUUAUUAGUUGUUAUUUAAAGCGAAAGCUGAGUUGUUUUUUGUUUGCUUGUAUGUUUUGUUGUUGUUAAAUUUUAGCUAAGACUUAAUUGUUUUUGGAAGCUACGAUUUAGUUGUUAUCAGAACUAAGACGUCCUAACUGAUGCACCGUUUCCACCCUUGGCACCAAAAGGCCUUAAGGGCUCUUUAACGUUAUUUCAGUACCUUGUGCGAAACUUACGAAAUGAGUUGGUGUUGAGGAAAUGUUCAAUACAAAAGCUCCCAGCUCUUUACUAAUCUAAACCAUACUCUCCUAGCAUCUGCGUUUGUUGCCAUUUUUUGUCCAAAAGUUGCCAAAAGUUGCCAAAAGUUGCCAAAAGUUGCCACAAAAAUGGCAAAAGUUGCCAUAAAAGUUGCCAUUAAUUUUCAAGCUUUCAACUCCCCGUGACGACGUAUAUAUAGCAAUAAUACGUUGAUAGAGGUAACUUAGUCCAAAGCAUCAGAAUUUUUUGUGCUCUGUUUUGGGUAUCUAGAAUAUCAUUUGUUGCCACACGACACAGUUUAAAAACGUGAAAAACAAAGGUUCCACAACAGAAUGAAAAUGAAAUCAAAAUUAGAACAGCUCGGACAAAUAACCACA